rnacentral:rRNA from 1 species
GCAUGGCUGUCGUCAGCUCGUGUUGUGAAAUGUUGGGUUAAGUCCCGCAACGAGCGCAACCCUUAUCCUUUGUUGCCAGCGGUUAGGCCGGGAACUCAAAGGAGCCUGCCAGUGAUAAACUGGAGCAAGGUGGGGAUGACGUCAAGUCAUCAUGGCCCUUACGAGUAGGGCUACACACGUGCUACAAUGGGGCAUCCCCAGACCAGUGACCUCGCGCGAGCAAGCGGCCCUCACAAAAAGCGUACUCGUCCGGAUUGGAGUCUGCAA